rnacentral:lncRNA from 1 species
GGGACUACAGGCGCCCGCCAUCACGCCCGGCUGCUUUUUUUGUUUUAGUAGAGAGGAGGUUUCACCGUGUUAGCCAGGAUGGUCUCAAUCUCCUGACCUCGUGAUCCGCCCGCCUCGGCCUCUCAAAGUGCUGGGAUUACACGCGUGAGCCACCGCGCCUGGCCUGAAGAAAGUUAAAAGAAAAGCUUUUUGAAUGAAUCACUUCUCAUCUUCUCCGAAGUUGGAAGCAUCAAGAAUCUAAAUAAGCAUUUAUGAUGGCUGGCAUGAAUAUGUCUAUAGGUCCACUGAUACGGCUUUGCUACUCUACCCCGACACCCUGAGGACUAAUCUAUUAAUAGUAUGUACUUCUUAUAAUGAUGAGUGAGGCACAAAAGAGGAAGCAGAAACGCGGAAGAUAGAAUGGGAGUCCUAGUUGACCUUCAUAUAAUUUUUAGAAGAUGGAGCACUUCAACUUCUUCCACUCAUGAAAAGAGAGGUGACAGGUGAAGACAGAACAAGAAAACAAACCAAGAAUUUCCCCUCACCAGCCACCAGCUCUGCCAGCAACUUGAUCUUAGACUUCCCAGCCUCCGUAACGCCUCUGCUUAUAAUCUGUCAUGGAUUGGAAAACUAGAAAAAACAGUUUACAGAGUAUAACAAACUUUGGAGGAGUUAAUCGACUCUAAGUAAAAGAGUAUCUAGCACGGCUGUGGAACAAAGGAGAGACUCACAAACUGUUGAAAGAAUAAAUGAAUGAAUGAAUUCUGUUCAUGAGCUUUAAUAAAACAGCUCUGAGUAGUAACAGUGGAUCAAAUUUAGGCUUCUUGAUGCAGGCAUGGUGUAGAUUACUACUUCUGUAUUGUCCCAGGAGCUCAGCACAUUCCUGCAGAGAUGAUAGGAGCUCAUCUGAUACUUGUCAGCUUUGAAUAAACUCCAGUCCCCAAGAGAGAGAAUGAGAAUCACCGGAAUACGAAACUUCCCUGUUGGACUUCCCAACAUUCUUGAAUGCACCAAGAUAGCCUCUUGCUGUGAGAUUAAUAAAUGAAUAAAUGCCUCCAUAUUUUUCA